rnacentral:snoRNA from 1 species
CUGCAUCUACUGAUAGACCUUGCACAAAUUGUUGUUUUUCUGGUGUGCUAGAAUGCGAAAGGAGAAAUACCCUGCACUUUCUGUCAGUCCUGGAGGCCCAGAUUGAAUAGGGGAAUACAUAU